CAGCAGCCGCGGUAAUACGUAGGGUGCAAGCGUUAAUCGGAAUUACUGGGCGUAAAGCGUGCGCAGGCGGUUAUAUAAGACAGAUGUGAAAUCCCCGGGCUCAACCUGGGAACUGCAUUUGUGACUGUAUAGCUAGAGUACGGCAGAGGGGGAUGGAAUUCCGCGUGUAGCAGUGAAAUGCGUAGAUAUGCGGAGGGACACCGAUGGCGAAGGCAAUCCCCUGGGCCUGUACUGACGCUCAUGCACGAAAGCGUGGGGAGCAAACAGGAUUAGAUACCCCCGUAGUCCCUGUCUCUUAUAC
rnacentral:rRNA from 1 species